GUUAAUGUUGGCAGUGUGCCUAACACAUGCAAGUCGAGCGGCUCGCAAGAGCAGCGGCAGACGAGAGAGUAAUAACAAGGAACUUGCCCCCGAGUGAAGGAUAGCCAUCCGAAAGGAUGGGUAAUCCUGCAUAAUCCGUGCUUGCACGGCAAAGCCGUAAGGCGCUUGGGGAGAGGCCUUGUUCCUAUCAGCUAGUUGGUGAGGUAAUGGCUUACCAAGGCGAUGACGGGUAGCUGGCCUGAGAGGGUGACCAGCCUCGAUGGGACUGAGACACGGCCCAUACUCCUACGGGAGGCAGCAGUUGGGAAUUUUGCACAAUGGGCGAAAGCCUGAUGCAGCAACACUGCGUGAAGGAUGAAGGUUUUCGGAUCGUAAACUUCUUUUAUCUGGGAAUAAUCUUGAAGGUACCAGAUGAAUAAGCACCGGCUAACUACGU
rnacentral:rRNA from 1 species